rnacentral:rRNA from 1 species
AGAUUGAACGCUGGCGGCAUGCCUAACACAUGCAAGUCGAACGGGAGUAGGGGCAACCCUACUUCAGUGGCGGACGGGUGAGUAAUGCGUAGGAAUCUUCCCUAAAGCGGGGGACAACCCGGGGAAACUCGGGCUAAUACCGCAUAAUCUCUAAGGAGCAAAGAAGGGGACCCUUUGGGGCCUUUCACUUUAGGAUGAGCCUACGUCGGAUUAGCUAGUUGGUGAGGUAAAGGCUUACCAAGGUUACGAUCCGUAGCUGGUCUGAGAGGACGGCCAGCCACACUGGGACUGAGACACGGCCCAGACUCCUACGGGAGGCAGCAGUGGGGAAUAUUGGACAAUGGGGGCAACCCUGAUCCAGCAAUGCCGCGUGUGUGAAGAAGGCCUUCGGGUUGUAAAGCACUUUUAGUGGGAAGAAAGGCUUAAGGUUAAUACCUUGAGUGUUGACGUUAUCCACAGAAAAGCACCGGCAAACUCUGUGCCAGCAGCCGC